UUUUCUUUCUUCAACAUCUGACAGGAUUUGCAAAUUUCCAGUCCUUCCUUGCUCAUGUGGAUGGCAGAUUCUCUCACUUUGCCAGGAGAAUCAACUUUCAGAUUGCAGUUAAAGCUACAGGACAUCUUUUUAACAGAAAGAGGAGGCAACCAAUUCUAGUUGGCAUUACUGUAAGAAAUCCCAUACCGUCCCUGCUUUUGCUCUGGACAGGUGGUCUAUGACAAAGCACUGGGUUGUAGCUGUCAAUCACCUUUCCUUUCCCCGGAACUAUGGAUCACCAAAAGCAAAUGCAGGAGAUGCUGUCGGCAAGUGGUAGAGAGUAACUUGAUUCUGCACCUAAUAACGGCAG